CCGUGAAAGUGUUCCUGCACCAGCUUUAUUCAGGUGUCAGUUCUGCAGCUCUUGCAGGGAAGAUGGUGGCAGAGUCAACCUGCCACAGCCUCGGGAGUAUCCUGACCACUUUGAUUGUUAAGCUUGUGUAGAAGUCAAUCAGCAUCACUUAACAUACUCAGACUUACAUCCUGAGCAACUUCCUUGUAGCUCUCCCAGUAGUCUUGGCUAGAACUGAACAACAGUGCAUAGGCUGAAUCUCUUCCUGACAUCAUUUAGGUCAGCAGUGUCUAACUUGUGACCUUCCAGAUGUUGUUGGACUCCAAUUCCCUUCAACCCUAAACAGCAUGGCCAAUGGGCAGGUAUGGUGGAAGUUGUAGUCCGAUGGCCUCUUGUGGUCUCCUUAGCUCCAUCUCCAGAGAUCCCCUUGGCUGCCCCACCCAGUGGUCAACAGCUGCUGCCGCUGCCCAUAACACCUGGAAUCUUGAAUGCAGUAUUUAAAGGGCCCAUAGCCAUUUCUGCAGAUGCAUACUCCUCCAUGACUGUAGAGCAGAGUCUGGGGAUGUUUGGAGAGACAAGCUGAGGUGGUGAAGAAGGGACCACUGAAGGUGGGGUGUGUGUUUGGAAUCAAGGCAUCUGGUUGGCCACUUUGAGAGCAGGAUGCUGGACUAGGUGGGCCACUGGCCUGAUCCAGCAGGUUCUUCUUAUGUUCUUACUCCAGUCUCAGCUGCCCAGGGACUGAAUCUGACCUGGUGGAGUGGGGGAGGCAGUAGAAGUAGGCAAAUAGGAGGCAGUGGUGUGCAUUCAUGACCUCAAUAUGGUUGAGGUCAUGGCAUGAGGACACAAGAGUAUUGCCACAUUUCCUGAUGUGCCUGAUGUCAACCCAACCAAGCAAGGAAAGAGUUAGAGGAGAGGCAGUGUGGAAAGCUGUGGGCGAUGAACAGAAGCCUGGGACAGAAACAAAGGCAAUUACUGUAAUUGAACAGCUACCUAUCAGCAGGCUGACACCUCAUCAGCGCCUGCAGUGAAUGACAGGUAAAUACCUUCCCCUUUUGACAGUUUAAUUAACCAAAAUAAAUGGGGCACUGGGAAUUAUGAGGUUUCUUACCAGAACAUGUUCCCAAGGAGAUUUGAGACCCUUUCUUCCCUUCAUUCCUUUGCCUCUCUUCCCGUAACAGUCACGGGGGUGUCUUUGCUUGUAAGAAAACCACUCCAUUAUUGGCUAAGGAGUGCCAGAGUGAGGAAGGCUUAGAAGUCCUUGUGACCCAUAUGGUGCUGGCGAUGAAGCCUCUGGGAGUGAUUGGCUGAAAUGUGCUGAUGUCACAGAGAUAACUGCCAUUGGUGGAGUGCCAUGAGAGAUGACUGCCAUUGGUGGAGCAGAUCUGUUCUUUGAGUGUGGCAGGAAAAUCAAACGGUUUUGGGAAAGCUACACAUUGGGAGACUCAGACAAAAAGAAGUACUUAUUGACACAGAACACCGUUAAAACUAUGGAAUUUGGUUUCACAAGAAUGACCACCAGCUUGGCCAGCUUUAAAGGGGGGUUAAUGGAGGAUAAAGCUACCAAUUGCAAACAGAUUUGCUAUACAGUGAUACCUCGAGUUACGAACUUAAUUUGUUCUGUAGGUCUUUUCUUAACCCGAAACCGUUCUUAACCUGAGGCGCGCUUUCGCCAAUGGGGCCUCACGCUGCCACCGCACCAGCACCACGCGAUUUCCGUUCUCAUCCUGGGGCAAAGUUCGCAACCCAGAGCAACUACUUGUGGGUUAGCAGAGUUUGUAACCCGAAGCGUUUGUAACCUGAGGUACCACUGUAUAUACUUGGUAUCUGUAGUAGCAGAAGCAAUAUGCCUCUGAAUACCAGUUUCUGGGGUUGGUAGGAAAGAGAGUGCUUGUGUUGUGCCUGUGGACUUUCCACUGGUAUCUGAUUAACCAUCCUGUAAUGGUCAGGGGUCCCUUUACCUUUUUUUAAUAAUAGAAUGCUAGACUGAUUCAGCGGGCUCUGAUCCAACAGGGAACCUCUUACAUAUGGACUAUGUAACAACUCCCAGGGGGAAGGCUGUCUUUGGACAUAGGAAAUGUUGAACUAGACCAUCUGUCCAUCUGGCUCCAGAUUGCCUCUCAACACAAGUUGCUAGGAAACAUGAGUGGGGAAGAGGUCUGUUGUGCUUCUGCCCUCAAUGUGGGUUUCCCAGAGGCAUGUGGUUGACCACUGUAAGAUGCUGGAUUCGAUGGUCUGGUCCAAAUGGGCUUUUCCUAUAUUCUUAUCUCCUCCAGUUGCUGUUGAACUACAACUCCACAUUGGCCAUGAUGGCUAGGGCUGAUGGAGUUGGCAUCAAACAACAUCUGGAGGGCACAAUGUUGGCUACCCCGGUUCAUAUCAUUGACUGCUAACUCAAGGCACAAUACUUUCCAAUGGGACCUGUUCACAGAUUCAACUGUAAUCACAGAGCAUUGAGUAACAAAGAAUAAUGUGGAGAUGGCUUUAAAACAGAAUUAGACAAAUUCAUGCAUGUAAAUGCUAUCAGUGGUUGGAGGCAGUAGGCUUCUGAAUAGCAGUUGUUGGAAACUGCAGGAGAAGCAAGUACUCUUGUCCUCAGGUCCUGCUUACAGGCUGACCACCGUGAGAACAGGAUGUUGGACUAGUUGAGUAAUCAACCUGAUCCAGCAGGGCUCUUUUUAUGUCCUUUUGAGCAUGUGGGCAUACGUGACUUGUGUGAUAUUUAAGGCUAUUCUGGACAACACUUAGUUCUUUCUUCCAGUCUCUUCUUUUAUCUCCUGCCUUUCCAGAGCUUGACUAUCUGGCUUUCUAAUUCAGACAUCUGUUAAUUAUAUUUGCAAAGAUUUCCGUUGUUGCAGGAGGACAGACCUGUCUUCCCCUUGCUCUCCCAGCUAACGAUUUCUCUCUUCCUUGGUUAUAAUCUCGCCAUUGAAGCUGAUUCUGUUUGAUCUUCUCAUUGUAAUGCAGUCAGGGGAAGCAAGUCCAGAAAACAGCCCUCUUUAGAAUUAAACCGUUUUUCUCUAAUGUGAUUACAAAUGGUUGUUAACCCUCCUAACCACAUGAAGGAAUUGAUAUUUAGGGAUGCGGGCUGAAUGGAUGCCCCUCCUCUGCCAGGUGUCAUCUCAACAAAGGGUGCCUGUUCUAGCCCAAACAAUUAUCCUCCCCCCUUCACUUCCCACAUCAGGGACGGGAGGUGGAGGGAAUGGAAUAAUGACUGGAAAAAGGAAAGGCUAUAAUGCUUGAGAAGCUCUUAGAAGCUGUGACCGUUUAUUGUGAUGCUGUGUGAACAUUGUUCUAAUCUUUCUCAUGUGUUUGCUGGAGGAAUACUCUUCAAAAGAGGAUCUGGUGCUCCCCAAACCAAAUAUUGUGGGGGAGCAGUGUGUGUCAAGGGACCAUGAGAUGGAGUAAGGAGAUCAGAGUCUGCAGGGGAUAUGGUAUCCCAGCCUCCUUUGCAAGAUCUCGAGGGCCCUUGCUCAGAACUGGAGGAGGAGGCCGAGCUGCCAUUGAGCCCAUAUGAUUAUUCAAAGAACAGAGUAAAAAAAGGUAAAGGACUCUUGAACGGUUAAGUCCAGUCAAAGGCAACUAUGGGGUUGUGGUGCUCAUCUCACUUUCAGGCUGAAGGAGCUGGCGUUUGUCCACAGACAGCUUCCUGGGUCAUGUGGCCAGCAUGACUAAACCACUUCUGGCACAACAGAACACUGCAACGGAAACCAGAGCACACGGAAAUGCAGUUUACUUUCCCACUACAGUGGUACCUAUUUAUCUACUUGCACUGGCAUGCUUUCGAACUGCUAGGUUGGCAGGAGAUGGGACAGAGCAACAGGAGCUCACUCCAUUGUGGGGAUUCAAACCGCUGACCUUCCAAUCAGCAAGCCCAAGAGGCUCAGUGGUUUAGACCUCAGUGCCACCUGCGUCCCUGUUUCAAAGAACAGAACCAAAGGUCCAAUGCCCAUCUGGCAUCAUGAAGCCUGUCACUCAUGUGCUCCACUCAUGAGAUAGAAGCCAGGCUCAACACAUGUUUAGAGUCCUGUUUAUACUCCAGGAAGCCUAAUGGUUUGCUGCCACAACACCUCAUCUUGCUUGAUUUUCAGUGGCUUCUUAGCUGGACAGCUCCACUUUUGUCUUGGACACUGCCCUUACCUACUGGACGUCUCCUUGGUCUUGCUGAGUAAGUGGGAAUCUACACUGCAUAGCCUUGGUGGUGGGAAUGGCGCACCUCACCUCCUGAGCAAUGUAACAGCUUUAAAAGAGCUGAAGUGUGGUGGAAAGAGGUUUGUGCUGGGAAGCUAGUGUGAACAUUUAAGGAAAAGGGUUAAGGUCAUUGUAACAAUAUGUGGUUUCCCAAGGAGUGCAGAGUGCUGGGAGAGAUUGCGGCCACUGGUCGCUGGAUGCAAGUAUCUUGUUUUCUGUGCCACCAAGUUAGCUCAUGAUGUAACUGGCCUGGUGCCCCGUGGUGCCUCUGUUGCAGAAGAUCAGAAGAUAGUACUGCAGCUGCCUAUCUAGCAGGGAUCAAAUUAUGCAAAGCAACAAUAGGGUCCCACCUGGUCCUAUAAAGCUGCUGGUUCUUCUCCUUUGAGCAAAUUAUCAGUCAAGUGAAGGCUGAACUUUCUAUCCUUGUGUAUGCAUUUGGGAGAUAAACAUAUGAGCUUGUCAAUCACAACUGCACUGAAGAUGGGAGGAGUGCAAUAAGUAUGGAGGAGGAGGAGGAGGAGGAGGAGGAGGAGGAGGAGGAGGAGGAGGAGGAGGAGGAGGAGGAGAAGAAGAAGAAGAAGAAGAAGAAGAAGAAGAAGAAGAAGAAGAGUUUGGAUUUGAUAUCCCGUCUUUCACUCCCCUUCAGGAGUCUCAAAGCGGCUAACAUUCUCCUUUCCCUUCCUCCCCCACAACAAACACUCUGUGAGGUGAGUGGGGCUGAGAGACCUCAAAGAAGUGUGACUGGCCCAAGGUCACCCAGCAGCUGCAUGUGGAGAAGUGGAGAUGCAAACCCGGUUCCCCAGAUUACGAGACUACCGCUCUUAACCACUACACCACACUGGCUCUCGGGAAGUGCAGCCUGGAAGAAUUUCUUGCAAUUGGAUAAGGUGUUUCAAGUGUGAAUUCCCCUUCAUCAUUGGUUUCCCAGGUUGUCCUCUCCCUAAAGGGAAUAUUGCCUUUAUUCUUUUUCUAAAUGUUUUUUAUUCUUUUUCUGGAAACCACCGCCACCACCGCACGAUUUCUGUUCUCAUCCUGAAGCAAAGUUCUUAACCUGAGGUACUAUUUCUGGGUUAGCAGAGUCUGUAACCUGAAGCGUCUGUAACCUGAAGCAUCUGUAACCCGAGAUACCACUGUAUUGUUGUUGUUGUUGUUGUUGUUGUUGUUGUUGUUGUUGUUGUUAUUUAAGAUGCUAAGAUAGUGAACCAUGAUCUAAUCCAGCAAGACAGUCUCUAACGCUCUUAAUUCAUAGGUUUGGAUUCUUAAGAUUGCAGUAUCCAAAUUUGACCUGUUGAUGGAGAGAGCUUCAUCUUCUGGAACAGGAGCAGGCUUUCAGACUGGAAUUGGAAUCCAUCUAGGCACAAGGCAGCAUCUGGGCAAAGGAAAUGAUAGACAGUGGGGCAGGGAUAUGGAACUUGCAGUCCUCUAAAAGUUGUGGGGUUCCUACUUCCAUCAGCCCCAUCCAGCAUGGCAAAUGGUCUGGGGUGAUGGGGGUUGGUUGGAAUCCAGCAACUUCUGAAGGGUCAGGUUCCUCAAGCCUGCUCUAGAGGUUGUUGGGCUACAGCCCUAGCCAGGAUGACCAAUGGUCAAGGGUGAUAGGGGUUGGAAUCUAUCAACAUCUGGAGGGCCACAGUUUCCACAUCACUUAAGGUGGGGGUGUCCACAGAAGCCCCUUUUGACAAAGGGAGCCUGUGGAAGCAGGAAGUCUUGUUCAGAGAUGCCUGGGGUGCGUGCGCAUACAUCUGUGUGUGCACAUGAGGCACUUGAAACACAGUUGAAACAGUAAGUGCCUUGUCGAUGGCUCCUCUUUUUCUUCACGCUGACAGCUUGACAAGUGAGCAGGAAAAAUGAAGUUGGUGAAGGAAGAAAUGCUAUCAGGAGUUCCAUGCUAAAAGGGCAGACAGGCCAGAUUGGAGGGAAAUGAGAAGCUGUCUCGGCUAAUGCAAUCAUUUAUCACAUAAUCUCACCUGGCGGUUGGGUAAGGAUGUUGGCAUGCACAAGCAUUAAUCCAGAGGUAACCAAUGGACCUCACGUACACAGGCUUUUCCCCCUUUGAGCUCACUCACUCUGUCUGAAGUGUUCUUCUAUAAUGGCUUAGCUUGCUUAUGAUGGGGGUGGCUGUUCCUGCAUGCAAAGGGCCAGGGUCUUGAAAGGGGCAUUCUAGCACUAGACCUCAUCUACCCUUUUUCCUAGGCUACAGUUGAAUGCCUGUAGUCUUCUAGAUAUUGGACUCCAACUCCCAUAAACCACAGCCAGUGUGGCCAAUGAUCAAAGACAAUGGAAACAGUAAUUCAACAUCUGGGGUGAGGAGGACACAGUUUCUCCAUCCCUGCUCUAUCAUUAUGGUAGCUUGCCAGCUGUCCUUCUUUGAGGAGCACCUCAGUAUUAGCUUUGCCCAGGGAGGGGAACUGCAGUUCCAUAUUGGCCUAUAUCAUUAACAACCGCAUCUAGGGUCCACAGUUUAAGUAGCUUGAUCCUCCUGCAUAGGCCAAGUUGGUUUUGCAGGGUUAGCCGGCCUACCCUCUUCCUAUCUACAAAUCAGACCACCAACAGUUAUCCAGGGCCGGCCCUACCAUUAGACAGAGUGGGGUGGCUUGUCUCGGACAACAAAUUAUACAGAUUAUAGGAACACGAGAGCUACCUUCUAUCAAGUUGGACCACAGGUCCAUCCAGCUAAGUGCUCAUCUACACUGUCUGGCAAGGGACACUCCCGGUCCUAUCUGGAGAUGCCAGGGAUUGAACCCAGGGUCUUCUGCAUGUAAAACAAAUGCUCUGCCACUGAGAUGUAGCCAUUCCUCCAGAUUCCAUCUGCUUAAGUGUAUAAACAUGAGGGUUUUCAGUCACUGCAAAUGUAAAUAUUUAUGCUGUUUUUGUCUCUGCAUACACACAAGACUCUUGGCUGGAGAUAAGGACAUGCAUCUCAUUCUAAUCUCAACUGGCCAAACAGAUUAGGAAUAAUCACACCAUUGAUGUCCUGGGACAUAAAAACACCCCAGGCUUUCGAAUGCAAAUACUUCUUUCAGCAAGGGGGGGGGGGGGAGAGAAAGUGAAAGAGAAAGUGGUCGGGGGAUGGGGAUUGCAUACUGUGGGAACUGUUGAAGCUUGAGAGAAAAGACCAAGUAAAUGAAAAGAAAGAAAGAAAGAAAGAAAGAAAGAAAGAAAGAAAGAAAGAAAGAAAGAUGGGAGGGCAAAUUAGAUAGCAGCGUGCACAGAUUUACUGAGGGUGGGAAAAUGGAAUGCAGAUUAUAAAGGUAUAUGGAAAAGACCAAACCAAACCUGUCCUUUCUGCAUCUAAAAUGCAACAAAAAUUUAAGAUAUAAUGUGGGAAAGUAUCUCUGCAGGCAGUGGCGUAGCGUGGGGGGUGCAGGGGGGGCCGGCCGCACCGGGCGCAACAUCUGGGGGGGGCACUCGCACUCGCAGCUCUCUGCCCCUACCUGGCUCACUCACUCUCUCUCACUGCAGUGCUGGCUGUGCGAAUCCGAUCCGAGCCGCUGGGUCGCCGCCCACUGUGGAGGGGGUGGGUGCCAGGUGUGCGGUGCGGAGAGAGAGCGAGGGACUAUCUGGGGGAGGGACAGUGCAGCGGCCGCCCAGCGCAGCGCUGAGCGUGGGAGAGAACCACACCAGACCAGCCCAGGCAGCAGCAAGAAGAAGCUGGCAGCGGCGGCAGGUUAGGGGUUAGGGGGCGCAAAUUACUUGCCUUGCCCUGGGUGCUGACAACCCACGCUACGCCGCUGUCUGCAGGAGUGUUACAUAUUUUAGUUUUCUUGUUUUUUAAUUACAGAUUACUGUUGGGAAACAUUGGGGCUCUGGCCCUAUCUGCACUAUACAUGCAAAGCUGGAUAGCUCAGUUGGCUAGAGCGUGGUGCUGAUAAUACCAAGGUUGCAGGUUUGAUUCCUGUAAGGGAGAGCUGCAUAUCCCUGCAUUGCAGGGGGUUGGACUAGAUGAUCCUCAGGGUCCCUUCCAACUCUAUGAUUCUAUAUCGCUUUAAACAGCUGUGCUUUCUUGCUCAAAGAACCCUGUGAACUGCAGUUUGCUAAGAGAGUUGUUUUGUUGUUGUUUAGUCGUGCCCGACUCUUCGUGACCCCAUGGACCAGAGCACGCCAGGCACUUCUGUCUUCCACUGCCUCCCGCAGUUUGAUCAAAGACCCCAUUCACCUCACAGAGAUGCAAUUCCCAGAGUUCCCUGGGAAGAGGGAUUGACUGCUAAACCACUCUGGGAACUGUAGCUCUGAGAGGGGAAUGUGGUGGGGUUUGUGCAUCUCCUAAUAACUCUCAGCAUCCUUAACAAUCUAUGGUUCCCAAGAUUUUUAGAGAGAAGGUGUGAAUGCUUAAAGUGGUAUUAUAGCUAGGGCUGCAAUGAUGACUUUGCUUAUAUUGCUCUGCCUUGCCUAUUCUGUAUGCAUUUUUCUUUUUGGAAGUCAUUUUAUCAGAGGUUCCUUUGGGCCUGCCAUCGAGACCCCUUUUAAACCUCAUCUCAUGCUGGAUUUACAGCUUCCUCCCACCAGCGGUUGGGGUAAUAUACUACAGAGAGCCACAAUGCAAAUGGCCUCAGCUGUGGAAUGCACUGAUGCAGCAGCAAAGGGAUUUGUUCCCUGCUCAUAUUGCAUCUCGGUCACAUUUUGCUCUGCCUCGCCAUGUUUCGGCCCAUACAACGGACUGGAUCUCUAAGGGAUUAUAAACAUCUUCCAUCAGAGAUUAUAUCAUUCACUGAAAUGUGCUCUCUUUCUGCACUUAAAGUCCCACGAUCUCACAUACUGGGCUUUUGACACUGCAAAUGACCUGAUUUCAAACUGAACAUUGAAAACCAUGAAAGUGGGUGUGUCACUCAGCUGCUACCAUGCUGUGGCUUCCAGAAACUAGUACAUGAUGGGUAUUACUUGGCUGAGAACUGUGCUGCAAAAUGCAAAGAAUUCAAGUUUUGAAGGAAGGCUGUGCUCCAGUUUGCAUAUUGCUUUGGAAAGUGUGAAUAAGCUAGAUUUACCUUUCAAUGUGAACUGAAUCAAAUCCCCGCUCCCACCAUUCCUAAUAUCACUUUUGCACUUGUCCAUUCAUGUUAGAGCAUCAAUUUCUUCUUUUUUAAAAGCUACACAGAAUUGGCAUUUAAAUUUGUUUAUCACAAAAUGCAUAUUCAAAUGGACGCAUUUCUAAACAUAUUUUCUCCUAAAAUACACAUUUGCAAGCUGCUUUUGGGUUCCUUUGCUGUGCCAAAAAUUGAAGCACACAAAUCAGAAAGGUGUGGUACUUGAAGGAUAAUUACUUCCUGAUCCACACAUUACUCCAAGUACAGAUGACAAACCAAAUUUCUCAACCACCUCCGCAAACUACAGGCUGAGGAUUUCAAUAUUCUGUGUCCUCACAUGUGGAAAAAAAAGGUCCUAGCUCUCUCCACAUAGAAAGCUAGCAUGCCAGGGAGAAGACAAGGUAGCACCCAUCUCCCUGGUGUCUAUUUUCCUAUGUGGAGUAAUGGAGGGAAGGGGGACUUGUAACCAUCCAGAUGUUGCUGGACUACAACUCCCAUAAUCCCUGACCAAUUGUCAAGCUUGCUGGGGCUGAUGGGUAUUGGAGUUUAACAGCACCUGGAGGGUGGCAUGUUCCCUACUCCAGAAUUCAACAAUCCAUUCAUACCGAAAGACCUUGAAAACUCAAAAAGUCUCUCUCUCCCCCUUUCACAUGCCUACGGUUCAUUAAUUCAAUUUUACCAUAGAAAAACAAUCCCAUACUUUAUCAAGCCAUUCCACAAAUGCUGAAGAUUUUGACUGUCUCUGAAACCUGUCAGCUGCCAUCUGAUUUGUCUCUGAGAUGUACUUUCUUCUUGACGUACAUUAGGAGGCCUGAUAAUGGAUCAGGUUGUGUUAGUCUCCAUCCUUAAAUAGGGGAGCAUUCCACCAUGCAAUUUCCCUACCUGCACUCUGAAAUGGUACAGCUCGAGCGUUAGCAUGUGACAAGCCCUUUUUGGAAUCCUGACAUUCGAGCCAAAUGAGCGACAUCAUGUAACAGCACAGGGAAGAUUUAGCAGACAUGGUUUCUGCCACGAGCACCUGCUUUCAGCAUUAGUGGCACGCGCUGGAGACAUAAAGUUUUCCCAACGCUAGCGACAGUUGUGCUCCCCCCCCCCCCCCACAACACACUCUUCUCCUCACUCCAAACCAAGAAUACAAGUCGUUAUUGCUGUUGUUAUUAUUGGGAAUGUCACUGAAGGGCUUUAGAGUGAUGGUAACGCUGCUAAUUAAUUAGAUGUGUGUACUGUUCCCUUUCUCCAGGGUGCUCAUUAGAGUAUCCCAACAAUGCUGGGGAAAGGUUUGAAACAAGCAAGAGGCAUGAAUGGAUACUAAUAAAGCCAAACAAAGUGGUGGCGAUGAAUGGAAGAGCAUGAUGAGAGGAGCCAGCCCAAAGGGGGGGGGAGCUUUAUUCUCCAAAAUGCAGCGAUUAGAAAAACAAAACCUCAACAGGGUGGGGCAUCUUUAAUUCAGUGUACUCUUCCCUAGUUAGUCAAUGGCACAUUCAUUUUAGAUUAACCGCUUUUAGCUGAGAUACAUCCCUUCCCAUUAUUCUUCUCAAAAUUCUCCCCGUGUUUAAAACCUGUUUGCAUUAUUACUCAGGGGUAGGCACAGACACACCUGGGCUGCUCAGGUAUUCAAGCUGAGCACUCAGAAAGCCUCGGGGGUUUUGUUUUGAAGCGUUGCACUUGGACAUUUUGAGCAUCUAAGUUCUCCCCUUUCCAAACCAAUCUCCACCUGCUGUUCUUCCACCCUCCCUGCCAAUCCUGAUCUCUUUCCCAAGGGAAGAAGUCAUCCUACCCUGUAGAAGGGCAGGCUAAAGGUAAAGGCACCCCUGACCAUUAGGUCCAGUUGUGACCGACUCUGGGGUUGCGGUGCUCAUCUUGCUUUAUUGGCCAAGGGAGCCGGCGUACAGCUUCCGGGUCAUGUGGCCAGCAUGACCUCUGGCGAACCAGAGCAGUGCACGGAAACACUGUUUACCUUCCCGCCAGAAUGGUACCUAUUUAUCUACUUGCACUUUGACGUGCUUUUGAACUGCUAGGUUGGCAGGAGCAGGGACCGAGCAACGGGAGCUCACCCCCUCGCGGGGAUUUGAACCGCCAACCUUCUGAUCAGCAACUCCUAGGUUCUGUGGUUAAACCACAGCUCCACCCGCGUCCCAAGGGCAGGCUAACAGGCAGCAAAGGGCAGCAUGAGCAAGCUAAGAGACGUCCCACAAUUAGUGGCAAUUGCACUUAAUAUAUGUGGGGUUUUGUGUCAGCAUCACUUGUGCAGGUUCUGUGCUUGUGUUCCUUUGGUGGUGAGAGAGGUUGGGGUUGGCCAAGGUAUGCUUCUUUAUUUGUGAUUGGCUGUGGUGAUCUUUGUUUUCAUGUGUGAGUGGGGUGGGUGUUUUGUAUCAGGCUAGCCAGAUUGAUUUGUAUGCUGUUGGUGGAUUUUUGUCAUUGUCUUGUUCAGCUGUGUAUGUGAUAAAGGGGAGCCAUCCCCUUCUUCUUCUUAAUGUCUCAACAAAUGAAACUGAUCUGUAAAAAAUGUUACUUGGAGAGAGAAAAAGAGAGAGAGACAUUGCACAUACUUUUGUAAACUAAGAAAAUCUUUAAUAAAAAUACAUUAAAAAAAAUUAGUGGCAAUUGCUGGGGAUCAUGGGCCUUGUUCUUUCCUCUUCUUUCUUCAUCCUUUUUCCUUUUGUGUUGUGUCUUUUAGGUUAUAUGCCGGAGGGGAAGGACUCUCCUGUAUUUUAGGGAUCUCUAAGCUGUUCAGGAAGCCUUUUCACCUGAAAAGUGGGAUAAAAAAAAUUCUUACAAUGCUUCAUGGUACCCUCUCUGCCUUCCUGAAAGCAAAUUGUCUCAGGAGAGUUUGGGAUUAUGAGGAAAUGUUCAUGACUUGGGGCUGUUUGAAUGCAGAAGGUUCUGUCCUAGUACUCUUCAGUGAACAGGAGAACAGAUAACAG